UGGGGAAUAUUGCACAAUGGGGGAAACCCUGAUGCAGCGACGCCGCGUGAACGAAGAAGGUAUUCGUAUCGUAAAGUUCUGUCCUAUGGGAAGAUAAUGACAGUACCAUAGAAGAAAGCUCCGGCUAAAUACGUGCCAGCAGCCGCGGUAAUACGUAUGGAGCGAGCGUUGUCCGGAAUUAUUGGGCGUAAAGGGUACGCAGGCGGUUUAAUAAGUCGAAUGUUAAAGAUCGGGGCUCAACCCCGCAAAGCAUUGGAAACUGAUAAACUUGAGUAGGGGAGAGGAAAGUGGAAUUCCUAGUGUAGUGGUGAAAUACGUAGAUAUUAGGAGGAAUAACAGUAGCGACGGCGACUUUCUGGACACAAACUGACGCUGAGGUACGAAAGCGUGGGGAGCAAACAGG
rnacentral:rRNA from 1 species